AGUGAACGCUGGCGGUAGGCCUAACACAUGCAAGUCGAACGGCAGCACAGAGGAGCUUGCUCCUUGGGUGGCGAGUGGCGGACGGGUGAGGAAUACAUCGGAAUCUACUCUGUCGUGGGGGAUAACGUAGGGAAACUUACGCUAAUACCGCAUACGACCUACGGGUGAAAGCAGGGGACCCUCGGUCCUUGCGCGAUUGAAUGAGCCGAUGUCGGAUUAGCUAGUUGGCGGGGUAAAGGCCCACCAAGGCGACGAUCCGUAGCUGGUCGGAGAGGAUGAUCAGCCACACUGGAACUGAGACACGGUCCAGACUCCUACGGGAGGCAGCAGUGGGGAAUAUUGGACAAUGGGCGCAAGCCUGAUCCAGCCAUACCGCGUGGGUGAAGAAGGCCUUCGGGUUGUAAAGCCCUUUUGUUGGGAAAGAAAUCCAGCUGGCUAAUACCCGGUUGGGAUGACGGUACCCAAAGAAUAAGCACCGGCUAACUUCGUGCCAGCCGCCGCCGUAA
rnacentral:rRNA from 1 species